GUGAUUUUGGCCCUCCUAAAUUCACUUACCGUCUGUUUGGCAAAAGGAAAAAAAGUCAGGGAUGAAAAAGGAAAAUUCGUGCGUUUGGCAAACUCUACUUGAGAUUUGGCAAAUCAUAUGCCGGAAAUAUGGAGGGAUUUCCCAAUCCAAAAUCCCAAGUUCAAAUCCUAUCAUAAUUGGCUGAAUUAUGCAACAAGUGCGGGGGAAAUUGCAUUUGCUACUCGCCAAAUCUCCUCGACAAAUACACCCAUAUCAGUUUUCUAACGAAAGUGGGAGAAGAAGGCCAUCCAUCUAAGUUUCGCUUGUGAACUUUCAAUCUAGUUGCAAUUUUUAAUUUUUUUUAUCGAUUAAUCUAUCUCUAAUUUGUUUUUGUUAUCUGUUCUUUAUCUAAUGGGUUUCCGGUGUUUUCUAUUCAAGUUAAUCAUCUCUUUUAAUCUUAUAGAGAGAAUCUUUGGCUUUCAGAUUAUUACCAUAUCUGCCUUUCAAUCUAAGACUCGGUGUUGUUCCAAUAAAGGUAUAGUCUCAACCUAUCCUUUCUUUUCAAUUUUUUUUUUUAAUAACAAUUUAUGGCUUCAUAUUAUGGGUUGAUUCUGUUUAUUUGUUCAUUACCCUCUAUGUUGUUAUUUUGGAAUGUGAAUGUGUGCUUAGGAGAAUGGUUGGGUUGAUUCAAUUGUAAAUAAAGUUAAACAUCAUAAGAGAAGUGUGUGAGGGAAAAAUUCAGUGUUUUUUCUUUCAUUGUAGAUAUUCAUGUUUUUGUUAUUUCAUAAUUGAGAAAGAAGGUUGUCUUAAUAAAAGGAUAAGAUUAUAUGUUGUGAAAUUAUUGUUUUCUGCACUUUCUGGCUACAUAAUUUUACUCUGUAUUUAUGAUAUGGGUUCGUCAGGGUUUGUUUUGGUUGAGGAGAUUAUAGCUUCCUUGUAGUUUAUGCUAUAGAAGCCCUCACCAAUCAUACUUAUAUUUCUUGUUUUCUUUAAACUCAUUGUAUUGAUAUCUCUAUUCAUUUGUAGUAUUUAAUGCACUAAUCAGAAGUCAAUUGUCCAAUUGUUCAGUGGAUUUGAAUAUGUUUUUGUGUUGAGUGAUUUGUUUUGGGUGUGGUGUGGUUCUUGAAUGAUCCAGGGUGCGUUAAGGUGGACACAGAAUGUAAAUUUUGUCUGUAGUUUCUGCUAGUUAAUAAUUGUCAUAAAUUGUACCAUUAUUUGAGUCACCAUAUUCAGAUUCAUAUUCACCCAGCUUGACCACUACAUUUAAACAUAGAGGUUUGAGUUAUAUGGUAAUUGGAGUCGUUGCAUGUGUAGCAAAUAGUUAUCAGUUUCUCUUAUUUGGCUAGUAUGACUAAUUAGUUCUACGAUGACAUUUUUGUUGGUGUUUGAUAUGACUACAUAAUAAGAUUAUUUGGAAAUAUGAACAUGUAUGGCUAGUGACUAUGUAGAUAAAUUUCUUACACGUUUAAGUACCAAGUGUGCUAUAGAUGAAGAAUAAAAUAAGGACAAAAUGAACAUUAUUCUUG
rnacentral:lncRNA from 1 species